rnacentral:misc_RNA from 1 species
CGCCCGUCUCUCCGCGCUCGGGGCCGCGCCUCGACCGCCCGACCGGGGUAAACCACGGGAAGCGGCGGCCG